rnacentral:lncRNA from 1 species
AUGUUGAGAUAUCAUUAUCACUGGUAAUAGUCCUUCUCAUAUCUUCAUGCUCAUCAUCGAGUUAAGCUUCUAUUUUAAACUAAAUAUGCUAUUGACCUCCUUGAACGGACUGAUAUGCUUGGAUGCAAAUCUAUUAGCUCUCUAGUUGCUUGCUUCAACCAAGUUAGGCUGCACCACGAGUUUCUUAUUAUAUGAUCCAACUCGCUAUCAUAGCAUUGCCGGUGCUUUGCAAUGUCUUACCCUUAUCAGACUAGAUCUCUCCUUUACA